rnacentral:rRNA from 1 species
AUUGAACGCUGGCGGCAUGCCUUACACAUGCAAGUCGAACGGCAGCGCGGGGCAACCUGGCGGCGAGUGGCGAACGGGUGAGUAAUAUAUCGGAACGUACCCUGGAGUGGGGGAUAACGUAGCGAAAGUUACGCUAAUACCGCAUACGAUCUAAGGAUGAAAGUGGGGGAUCGCAAGACCUCAUGCUCCUGGAGCGGCCGAUAUCUGAUUAGCUAGUUGGUGGGGUAAAGGCCUACCAAGGCAUCGAUCAGUAGCUGGUCUGAGAGGACGACCAGCCACACUGGAACUGAGACACGGUCCAGACUCCUACGGGAGGCAGCAGUGGGGAAUUUUGGACAAUGGGCGCAAGCCUGAUCCAGCAAUGCCGCGUGAGUGAAGAAGGCCUCGGGUUGUAAAGCUCUUUUGUCAGGGAAAGAAAACGGUGAGGGCUAAUAUCCCUUGCUAAUGACGGUACCUGAAGAAUAAGCACCGGCAAAACUACGUGCCAGCAGCCGCGGUAAUACGUAGGGUGCAAGCGUUAAUCGGAAUUACUGGGCGUAAAAGCGUGCGCAGGCGGUUUUGUAAGUCUGUCGUGAAAAUCCCCGGGCUCAACCUGGGAAUUGCGAUGGAGACUGCAAGGCUAGAAUCUGGCAAGAGGGGGUAGAAUUCCAGCGUGUAGCAGUGAAAUGCGUAGAGAAUGUGGAGGAAC